rnacentral:tRNA from 1 species
GGAAGUGUGGCCGAGCGGUUGAAGGCACCGGUCUUGAAAACCGGCGACUCGAAAGGGUCCCAGAGUUCGAAUCUCUGCGCUUCCGCCAUAU